rnacentral:rRNA from 1 species
GCGCAGCAGUCGAGAAUUUUUCUCAAUGGGGGCAACCCUGAAGGAGCGACGCCGCGUGGAGGAUGAAGGCUUUCGGGUUGUAAACUCCUGUCAUUUGGGAACAAGUUGGACGCAGUAACUACGCGUCCAUUGAUAGUACCAGAAGAGGAAGGGACGGCUAACUCUGUGCCAGCAGCCGCGGUAAUACAGAGGUCCCAAGCGUUGUUCGGAUUCAUUGGGCGUAAAGGGUGCGUAGGUGGCGCCGUAAGUGGGGUGUGAAAUUUCGGAGCUUAACUCCGAAACUGCAUUCCAUACUGCGGUGCUUGAGGACUGGAGAGGAGACUGGAAUUCAUGGUGUAGCAGUGAAAUGCGUAGAGAUCAUGAGGAAGACCAGUGGCGAAGGCGGGUCUCUGGACAGUUCCUGACACUGAGGCACGAAGGCCAGGGGAGCAAACGGGAUUAGAUACCCGCGUAGU